AGAACAGCACCAGAGAGGUGUCCCCGUCCUCUUCUUCCACAGGAUGAUCAGGGAGAAGAUCCAAACAAUAUUAAUGCUCCAGAGACAGAUGUGAGCGGUGAUGAGCAGUAUAAGGAGGACAUUCGUACAGAGAAAGAUCUGAUCUAUUUUAAUGCUACAGACAUAAAUGAAGAAGAAGAGACAGAUGUGAGCAGUGAUGAGAAGUAGAAGAAGGACAUUCUUACAGGGAAAGAUCUGAUCUAUAUUAACGUAACAGACAUAAAGGAAGAAGAAACAGAUGUGAGCAGUGAUGAGCAGUAUAAGGAGGACAUUUCUACAGGGAAAGAUCUGAUCUAUAUUAAUGCUACAGACAUAAAAGAAGAAGAAGUGACAGAUGUGAGCGGUGAUGAGCAGUAUAAGGAGGACAUUCCUUCAGGUAACCGCCCAGAGCGGCUGUGUCCUCCGGCAGAUGUCACCUGGUGUUGGCUGCUUUAUGAUCUGAUCAUGUGGCCUGUACCUGGCAGACAUUACUAGCUGCUCCAGAACACUGUCUGCUGUAUACAAGUGGUGCGGAAAUCAUGGGGCAGAGAGACAAAGAAGCGGAGACAGUUGAAGCGGUGCUCCCCCGAGGAGCUGAGACAUAUACCCCGGACCCCCAGAGGAGCCCCCCCCCCCCUGCAGCCAUGAUCAUUACACCCCUGGAUGGAAACAUUGCUGCUCAGUAGAGACUGGGAGGAAGAGACCUAGAUACCGGACGAUCAGUCAUAGACCCUAUGGGAAGGACAGUUCAGCUAAAGCCAUGUCAGCAAAGUGAAUGUACAGGAUAUGAAGCUUGAAAAUAAGAACAAGUCUUAGCAGUUUAGGCUUCUGGUCGGUAGAGUCUAGUCAUGUGAUCAGGUUGGUCUCAUUAGGUGAACUGCAGUGAUCAGACUCCACCUCUCUCUCUGCAAAGUCAGAAGAAUCAUGGGAAAUGUAGGCAGGAUGAGAAAACCAUUGAUGUUCUGUGGCUUAAAGGGGUACUCCGAAGGGGGAAAAAAAAGUUAAAAUCAACUGAUGCCAGAAAGUUAUACAGAUCUGUAAAUUAUUUUAAUUUAAAAAUCUUAUCAGCUGUUGUAUGAUUCAGAGGAAGUUGUGUAGUUCUUUCUGUCUGACCACAGUGCUCUCUGCUGACACCUCUGUCCAUGUCAGGAACUGUCCAGAGCAGGAGAGGUUUGCUAUGGGGAUUUGUUCCUACUCUAGACAGUUCCUGACCCGGACAGAAGUGUCAGCAGAGAUAAGUAUUGAAGGGUUAAAUAUACACUGCAGGGAGCUAA